rnacentral:rRNA from 1 species
AUUGAACGCUGGCGGAAUGCUUUACACAUGCAAGUCGAGCGGCAGCGCGGGGGCAACCCUGGCGGCGAGCGGCGAACGGGUGAGUAAUACAUCGGAACGUGUCCUUGAGUGGGGGAUAGCUCGGCGAAAGCCGGAUUAAUACCGCAUAAGCUCUGCGGAGGAAAGCGGGGGACUGGUAACGGCCUCGCGCUGUUGGAGCGGCCGAUGUCGGAUUAGCUAGUUGGUGGGGAAAGGCCCACCAAGGCGACGAUCCGUAGCUGGUCUGAGAGGAUGAUCAGCCACACUGGAACUGAGACACGGUCCAGACUCCUACGGGAGGCAGCAGUGGGGAAUUUUGGACAAUGGGGGCAACCCUGAUCCAGCCAUUCCGCGUGAGUGAAGAAGGCC